rnacentral:rRNA from 1 species
GCAAGUCGAACGGCAGCGCGACCUUUCUUUCGGGAUUGGUUGGCGGCGAGUGGCGGACGGGUGAGUAACGCGUAGGAAUCUACCUUCAAGCGGGGGACAACCUGAGGAAACUCGGGCUAAUACCGCAUGUGCUCUACGGAGUAAAGCUGGGGACCCUUUGGGGCCUGGCACUUGAAGAUGAGCCUGCGUCAGAUUAGCUUGUUGGUGGGGUAAAGGCCCACCAAGGCGACGAUCUGUAGCUGGUUUGAGAGAAUGAUCAGCCACACUGGGACUGAGACACGGCCCAGACUCCUACGGGAGGCAGCAGUGGGGAAUAUUGGACAAUGGGCGAAAGCCUGAUCCAGCAAUACCGCGUGUGCGAUGAAGGCUCUAGGGUCGUAAAGCACUUUCAGUAGCGAAGAAAGUUAGAAAGUUAAUAGCUAUCUGACCUGACGUUAGCUACAGAAGAAGCACCGGCUAACUCUGUGCCAGCAGCCGCGGUAAGACAGAGGGUGCAAGCGUUAAUCGGAAUUACUGGGCGUAAAGAGCGCGUAGGUGGAAAUUUAAGUCAGAUGUGAAAGCCCUGGGCUCAACCUAGGAACUGCAUUUGAUACUGAAUUUCUUGAGUAUGGUAGAGGAAAGUGGAAUUUCCGGUGUAGGGGUGAAAUCCAUAGAUAUCGGAAGGAACACCAGUGGCGAAGGCGGCUUUCUGGACCAAUACUGACACUGAGGCGCGAAAGCGUGGGUAGCAAACAGGAUUAGAUACCCUGGUAGUCCACGCCGUAAACGAUGAGAACUUGGUGUUGGAGUCUAACUUCAGUGCCGGAGCUAACGCGUUAAGUUCUCCGCCUGGGGAGUACGGCCGCAAGGCUAAACUCAAAGGAAUUGACGGGGGCCCGCACAGUGUGCAGCAUGUGUUAAUUCGAUGCAACGCGAAGAACCUUACCUACCCUUGACAUCUUCGGAGACUCUAGUAGUAAAGUUGUGCCUUCGGAAACCGAAUGACAGUGCUGCAUGCUGUCGUCAGCUCGUGUCGUGAGAUGUAGGUUAAGUCCUUACCGAGCGCACCCCUGGUCUUAGUUGCCAGCACGUAUGGUGAACUCUAGGGAAACUGGCCGGUGAUAACGAGAGCGGGAACGAUGUCCAGGUCAGCAUGGCCCUUACGGUAAGGCUAACACACUGGCUAAUUGGCAGAUACAAAGUGCUAACCCGGGAGUGAACUUAUUCUCUAUAAGACUGUCCUCCUCCGAUUCG